CCAUGCAUGUCUAAGUAUAAGCAAUUAUACAGCGAAACUGCGAAUGGCUCAUUAUAUAAGUUAUCGUUUAUUUGAUAGUGCCUUACUACUUGGAUAACCGUGGUAAUUCUAGAGCUAAUACAUGCUAAAAACCCCGACUUCGGAAGGGGUGUAUUUAUUAGAUACAAAACCAAUGCCCUUCGGGGCUCCUUGGUGAUUCAUGAUAACUAUACGAAUCGCACGGCCUUGCGCCGGCGAUGGUUCAUUCAAAUUUCUUCCCUAUCAACUUUCGAUGUUUGGGUAUUGGCCAAACAUGGUUGCAACGGGUAACGGAGGGUUAGGGCUCGACCCCGGAGAAGGAGCCUGAGAAACGGCUACUACAUCCAAGGAAGGCAGCAGGCGCGCAAAUUACCCAAUCCCGACUCGGGGAGGUAGUGACAAUAAAUACUGAUACAGGGCCCUUUCGGGCCUUGUAAUUGGAAUGAGUACAAUUUAAAUCCCUUAACGAGGAACAAUUGGAGGGCAAGUCUGGUGCCAGC
rnacentral:rRNA from 1 species